CCUACGGGUGGCAGCAGUGGGGAAUAUUGGACAAUGGGGGCAACCCUGAUCCAGCCAUGCCGCGUGUGUGAAGAAGGCCUUCGGGUUGUAAAGCACUUUAAGUGGGGAGAAAGGCUCCUUGGCUAAUAUCCAAGGGGAUUGAUGCUACCCACAGAAUAAGCACCGGCUAACUCUGUGCCAGCAGCCGCGGUAAUACAGAGGGUGCAAGCGUUAAUCGGAAUUACUGGGCGUAAAGCGCGCGUAGGCGGCUGAUUAAGUCGGAUGUGAAAUCCCCGGGCUUAACCUGGGAACUGCGUUCGAUACUGAUCGGCUAGAGUAUGAGAGAGGGAGGUAGAAUUCCACGUGUAGCGGUGAAAUGCGUAGAUAUGUGGAGGAAUACCGGUGGCGAAGGCGGCCUCCUGGCUUAAUACUGACGCUGAGGUGCGAAAGCGUGGGGAGCAAACAGGAUUAGAUACCCGAGUAGUC
rnacentral:rRNA from 1 species